AGAGUUUGAUCCUGGCUCAGGACGAACGCUGGCGGCGUGCUUAACACAUGCAAGUCGAGCGACGCACCACUUCGGUGGUGACGGAGCGGCGAACGGGUGAGUAACACGUGGGCAACCUGCCCUCAGCUCUGGGACAACUCCGGGAAACCGGGGCUAAUACCGGAUACGACCUCGUAGGGCAUCACACGAGGUGGAAAGUUCUUCGGCUGAGGAUGGGCCCGCGGCCUAUCAGCUUGUUGGUGGGGUAACGGCCCACCAAGGCGACGACGGGUAGCCGGCCUGAGAGGGCGACCGGCCACACUGGGACUGAGACACGGCCCAGACUCCUACGGGAGGCAGCAGUGGGGAAUAUUGCGCAAUGGGCGAAAGCCUGACGCAGCGACGCCGCGUGAGGGAUGAAGGCCUUCGGGUUGUAAACCUCUUUCAGCAGGGACGAACACAGACGGUACCUGCAGAAGAAGCACCGGCCAACUACGUGCCAGCAGUCGCGGUAAUACGUAGGGUGCAAGCGUUGUCCGGAAUUAUUGGGCGUAAAGAGCUCGUAGGCGGUCUGUCACGUUGGCUGUGAAAACUUGGGGCUCAACCCCAAGCCUGCAGUGGAUACGGGCAGACUAGAGUGCGGUAGGGGAGACUGGAAUUCCUGGUGUACCGGUGAAAUGCCACAUAUCAGGAGGAACACCGGUGGCAAAGCGGGUUUUGGGCCCUACUGACCCUGAGAACCAAACGUGGGANCAACCNGAUGGAUACCUGGUANUUUG
rnacentral:rRNA from 1 species